rnacentral:tRNA from 1 species
UGGGGUAUAGCCAAGCGGUAAGGCAGCGGGUUUUGAUCCCGCCAUUCCUAGGUUCAAAUCCUGGUACCCCAGCCA